AUGCGGGGCGCUCGCAGGCGGCUCUGCUCCGCCCUGAUCGUCGCGUACGGCCUCUUCUCCCUCUACGCGGCCUACACUGUAUUCCUGUGGCCGCGCCGCCCGGCCGCCCCUCGCCCGCACCGGGACCACCGCGGCCCGCGAGGUUUCACAGAUCAUGUUGCCUUGGGAAAUGAAGAGUGGAAUCCAUGGGAUGCGGAUGAGAAAAACGAGCUGGCUGUUUAUCAGCAGAGAUAUGAAGCUAAUCUUAAAAUGAUAAAAUAUGCGAGGUCUCACCUAGAACAGACCAGUCUUAGAGUACAGAUUUGGGGCAAAGCAGCAAUUGGUCUUUACCUUUGGCAGCAUAUUUUUGAAGGGCAUCUUGAGCCAGCUGAUGUGACUUCACAGUGGAGAGAAGGAAGCCAAAAAGCAGGAAAAACAUACUUCAGGAAGAUGUUGCAGAGCAGAGUGCCAAACUUCUUACCUCUUAUUUGCUUCCUCACUGGCCCAUCUGUAGUUCCUGGCUACUUCUCGGUGGAAGGGGAGCACGUGGUGCUGGUGCUGAACGGGAGGGAGCCGGCGAAGAUCGUCUAUGCCACGCAGUGGCUGCACUAUGCACGGACACUGAUGGAGACCCGCAAAAUCCAGCAUGUGGCAGUGGUGCUGCUCGGCAACGAGCAGUGCAACAACACCUGGAUUCAGCCAUACCUGAAACGAAACGGGGGAUUUGUAAAUCUGCUCUUUGUUACAUAUGACUGUGCAUUCGUAAAUGAAGAAGAUAUUUUCCAGUGGCCUUUAGGAGUAGCUACGUAAGUGCUAUAGAAGAAGUUGCAAUUGGUUAAUUAAUUGUUGUGCACGAGGUAUGGAAAAUAUGACAGAGUGUCACUGCUGAUGCCCAAAACAAAUGUAAUAAGUAAAUUGCAGAACAUGAUCCUAUUGGUCAUUUUCUAAAUCAGGCAUUGGAGUCUUUGAAAGUUGCAUUUAGUAAUAAAAAAAGAUAUCAGGGAAAGAAUACUAGCAUUUAGGAAAUUUGAGGAAAAUGAACAUGUUUCUCCUGAGGUUUUCUGUUUCUUCUUUCUUCAGUAGAUUUGCUCUUGAGAUUUACCAUAAAUGCUGAUAUAAUAUGUACCAGUGAUGCAGAGUUUAAAAAGGUAUUUAUGUAAUAAAGUUGCAGGUACUAUUUGUUCAGGAAAGGAAAGAGUACUUUUUUAAAUCUCUAUUAUGGCUCAAAAGGCUUUCCAUUUGGAGUUAUACUCCAAUAUCACAGUAGUGUAAGAUGGCUUAACUGCUGGUUUAAAAAAAAAAUUGUUAUACUUAAGUGCUUAAACUAUUUCUGUGGAGUAAAUAAAGGUCUGGUUCACCUAGAUGCAUUUUUACUUCUUACUAACAGAGUUGGUAGUGGUUUAGCUACGUACUAGGGUAAUAGAAGCUGAAAGGAAUACAUGAUUAUUUCCAUACCUUAUGUUGAAUUUGAAUUCAAUAUCCUGUAUUGAUCCAGUUUGCUCAACAAGCUGGAAAACUUUUUAUGUACAGCCUGAACUUGUUCACAGUGUCUGUGAAAUAUGCUAGAUUUGGAUUAUUGAUGGUGUCAGAGAAUUCAUGGCAUUGGAAGUUCCUAAGUCAAAAGAAGUUCAGUUGCAGAGAUUAAGGUGACAGUUAAGAGAAAGCAACAACACUUACAGCAAUAAACUAGGGUGCAAACCUCGGUGGAGGAAGAUAAAUUUAGUAUCAAAAUGGGGUUUCCAGCCCUUCCAUACAACAGCUGUAAAAAAUGAGAUUAAAGGCAUGAAAAUUUGCAGGAUUUUCUGAGUGAAGAGAGACAACGAAGAUGUGGAAUGAUGCAAAAAUAUUUGUCAUGAAGGGACAAAUGCUUAUUAUAAACCAAGUGAAUUAACAUUUAUCAUGCAGGAGAAGAAUGAGGAAAGAACUGCUCCAUCAAAUAAUGUACAACAAGCUAUAUAGUAAGCAAAAGAUUAGAUUAUUGAGUUCACUCAGAUCAAAGUGAGAUUUUGCUUUGAGAGGUUACCAGUGGUAUUUUCAGAAGAUGAGCAUAUCCAGAGAUUAAAGUAGGUAAGACUUAUGUGCCAUAAGGAGAAUGAAU